rnacentral:rRNA from 1 species
AGAUUGAACGCUGGCGGCAGGCCUAACACAUGCAAGUCGAGCGGCAGCACGGGUACUUGUACCUGGUGGCGAGCGGCGGACGGGUGAGUAAUGCCUAGGAAUCUGCCUGGUAGUGGGGGAUAACGCUCGGAAACGGACGCUAAUACCGCAUACGUCCUACGGGAGAAAGCAGGGGACCUUCGGGCCUUGCGCUAUCAGAUGAGCCUAGGUCGGAUUAGCUAGUUGGUGAGGUAAUGGCUCACCAAGGCGACGAUCCGUAACUGGUCUGAGAGGAUGAUCAGUCACACUGGAACUGAGACACGGUCCAGACCUCCUACGGGAGCAGCAGGUGGGAAUAGUUGGACAAGUGGGACGAAAGCCGUAGACUCCAGCCAUCGCCGCGUGUGGUAGAAGAACGGUUCUUACGGAUUAGUAAAGCUAACGUUUUAAGGUUAGGGAGGUAAGGCUAACGGUUAACCCAAGUUACCGUUAUUACGUUAGUUUUA